UACGUAGGGGGCGAGCGUUGUCCGAAGUUAUUGGGCGUAAAGCGCACGCAGGCGGUCUGCUAAGUUUGGAGUGACAGUUGGUGGCUUAACUGCCAAAGUGCUUCGAAAACUGGCAGACUUGAGGGCUUCAGAGGGACACGGAAUUCCGGGUGGAGUGGUGAAAUGCGUAGAGAUCCGGAGGAACACCAAAGGCGAAGGCAGUGUCCUGGGGAGUACCUGACGCUCAGGUGCGAAAGCCAGGGGAGCGAACGGG
rnacentral:rRNA from 1 species